rnacentral:rRNA from 1 species
CCCAGUGACUCUUUUAAACGGCCGCGGUAUCCUAACCGUGCAAAGGUAGCAUAAUCACUUGUCUCUUAAAUAGAGACUAGAAUGAAUGGCUAAAUGAGGACUAAUCUGUCUCUUACGGACCAACCAAUGAAAUUAAUCUUUCAGUACAAAAGCUGAAAUAAAAACAUAAGACGAGAAGACCCUGUGGAGCUUCAAACCAAAAACACCCUGCAUGCUCCUCAGGUUUUUAGUUGGGGCGACUUCGGAGCACAAUAAAACCUCCAAAAUCUUUAUCUUCAAGAUUAACAAACCAAAAACUUUAUUAGACCCAGCAAUGUAUAACAUUGUCUGACCACUGAACCAAGUUACCCCAGGGAUAACAGCGCCAUCCCCUCCUAGAGUCCAUAUCAACAAGGGGGUUUACGACCUCGAUGUUGGAUCAGGACACCCCAAUGGUGCAGCCGCCAUUAAAGGUUCGUUUGUUCAACGAUUAAUUAGUCC